rnacentral:rRNA from 1 species
UACGUAGGGGCCGAGCGUUGUCCGGAAUCAUUGGGCGUAAAGAGCGUGUAGGCGGCCCUCUAAGUCCUGCGUGAAAUCCUGCGGCUCAACCGCAGGCGGUCGUGGGAAACUGGAGGGCUUGAGUGCGGGAGAGGAGAGUGGAAUUCCCGGUGUAGCGGUGAAAUGCGCAGAUAUCGGGAAGAACACCCGUGGCGAAGGCGGCUCUCUGGAACGCAACUGACGCUGAGACGCGAAAGCGUGGGGAGCAAACAGG